rnacentral:rRNA from 1 species
CCUACGGGACGCAGCAGUAGGGAAUAUUGCACAAUGGGCGCAAGCCUGAUGCAGCCAUGCCGCGUGUAUGAAGAAGGCCUUCGGGUUGUAAAGUACUUUCAGCGGGGAGGAAGGCGAUAAGGUUAAUAACCUUGUCGAUUGACGUUACCCGCAGAAGAAGCACCGGCUAACUCCGUGCCAGCAGCCGCGGUAAUACGGAGGGUGCAAGCGUUAAUCGGAAUUACUGGGCGUAAAGCGCACGCAGGCGGUCUGUCAAGUCGGAUGUGAAAUCCCCGGGCUCAACCUGGGAACUGCAUUCGAAACUGGCAGGCUAGAGUCUUGCAGAGGGGGGUAGAAUUCCAGGUGUAGCGGUGAAAUGCGUAGAGAUCUGGAGGAAUACCGGUGGCGAAGGCGGCCCCUUGGACAAAGACUGACGCUCAGGUGCGAAAGCGUGGGGAGCAAACAGGAUUAGAUACCCCAGUAGUC